rfam:Asian citrus Psyllid, Diaphorina citri - Florida Strain, whole genome shotgun sequence.
GACAGCGAUGAUAGUACGUUGUAUGCAUAUGCAGAUGCACCCAGUUCCCAAAAGAUCUCUGAAGUUAAGCAACAUUGGGCAUGGUUAAUAUCCGGUUAGGUGACAAUCUGGACAAUCGCAUGCCACUGCUCUAA